rnacentral:rRNA from 1 species
UUCCAGACUCCUACGGGAGGCAGCAGUGGGGAAUAUUGCACAAUGGGGGAAACCCUGAUGCAGCGACGCCGCGUGAGUGAAGAAGUAUUUCGGUAUGUAAAGCUCUAUCAGCAGGAAAGAAAAUGACGGUACCUGACUAAGAAGCCCCGGCUAACUACGUGCCAGCAGCCGCGGUAAUACGUAGGGGGCAAGCGUUAUCCGGAUUUACUGGGUGUAAAGGGGGCGCAGACGGCGAUGCAAGCCAGGAGUGAAAGCCCGGGGCCCAACCCCGGGACUGCUCUUGGAACUGCGUGGCUGGAGUGCAGGAGGGGCAGGCGGAAUUCCUGGUGUAGCGGUGAAAUGCGUAGAUAUCAGGAGGAACACCGGUGGCGAAGGCGGCCUGCUGGACUGCAACUGACGUUGAGGCCCGAAAGCGUGGGGAGCAAACAGGAUUAGAUACCCGCGUAAC